UACGUAGGGGGCAAGCGUUGUCCGGAAUUAUUGGGCGUAAAGCGCGUGUAGGCGGCUCGGUAAGUCUGCUGUGAAAGUCCAAGGCUCAACCUUGGAAAGCCGGUGGAUACUGUCGAGCUCGAGUCCGGAAGAGGCGAGUGGAAUUCCUGGUGUAGCGGUGAAAUGCGCAGAUAUCAGGAGGAACACCGAUGGCGAAGGCAGCUCGCUGGGACGGUACUGACGCUGAGGCGCGAAAGCGUGGGGAGCAAACAGG
rnacentral:rRNA from 1 species